rnacentral:rRNA from 1 species
AUGGCUGUUCGCCAUUUAAAGUGGUACGCGAGCUGGGUUUAGAACGUCGUGAGACAGUUCGGUCCCUAUCUGCCGUGGGCGCUGGAGAAUUGAGGGGGGCUGCUCCUAGUACGAGAGGACCGGAGUGGACGCAUCACUGGUGUUCGGGUUGUCAUGCCAAUGGCACUGCCCGGUAGCUAAAUGCGGAAGAGAUAAGUGCUGAAAGCAUCUAAGCACGAAACUUGCCCCGAGAUGAGUUCUCCCUGACUCCUUGAGAGUCCUGAAGGAACGUUGAAGACGACGACGUUGAUAGGCCGGGUGUGUAAGCGCAGCGAUGCGUUGAGCUAACCGGUACUAAUGAACCGUGAGGCUUAACCUUACAACGCCGAAGCUGUU